ACGGACUACCGGGGUUUCUAAUCCUGUUUGCUCCCCACGCUUUCGUGCUUCAGUGUCAGUUAUGGUUUAGUAAGCUGCCUUCGCAAUCGGAGUUCUGCGUGAUAUCUAUGCAUUUCACCGCUACACCACGCAUUCCGCCUACCUCAAACACACUCAAGUAACCCAGUUUCAACGGCAAUUUUAUGGUUGAGCCACAAACUUUCACCGCUGACUUAAAUCACCACCUACGCACCCUUUAAACCCAAUAAAUCCGGAUAACGCUCGCAUCCUCCGUAUUACCGCGGCUGCUGGCACGGAGUUAGCCGAUGCUUAUUCAUAGGGUACAUACAAAAAAGGACACGUCCUCCACUUUAUUCCCCUAUAAAAGAAGUUUACAAACCAUAGAUCCUUCUUCCUUCAC
rnacentral:misc_RNA from 1 species